AUUGAACGCUGGCGGCAGGCCUAACACAUGCAAGUCGAGCGGAGCGGAAGACGGGAGAGAAAUGCCUAGGAAUCUGCCUCGUAGUGGGGGAUAACGUGCUGAUACGUGCGCUUAUGCCGCAUAAUAUCUGAUUCCCCUUGGCCGGAUGAGGUAGUUGGUGGGGUAAAGGCCUACGAAGGCGACGAGCCGUAACUGGUUUGAGAGGAUGAUCAGUCACACUGGAACUGAGACACGGUCCAGACUGCUACGGAAGGAAGCAGUGGGGGAUAUUGAGCAAUGUGCGAAAGCCGUAUCCAGACAUGCCGCGAGUGUGAAGCAGGUCUUCGGAGUGUAAAGUACUGUAAGUUGGGAGGCGUUACCAACAGAAUAAGCAACGGCUAACUUCGUGCCAGCAGCCGCGGUAAUAC
rnacentral:rRNA from 1 species